UUUCUCACCUUUUUUGUCACCUUACAGAACUGUUUCGGUUUCGUUUCAUUAUCUUUGUUAUUUUGUUUAGUGUUCUGAGUUUAAAUUAAUAUGAACACUUACCACGCUGCGAUUUGGUCCUCCUCUCCUUCCACCAACAAUGGCUGUUACAAAUAUAUGAUUACAUAAAUCAAUAUUUUGUCACAUAUAUGCCGGGAGUCAGGAAGCAAAUGCAGAAGAGCCCUUGUACUGCACAACGAGGAUGAGGAAGUGAAUUGCUGGUUGGGGCAGCAGCUGAUGUGACUGAGAAAGGAGGUGGGCUGAACACUGUCUCAAGGAAAAAAAUCCUCAUUGGAGAGGACCAUAUCAGGUUUUAUUGACCACCCGACUGAGGUAAAGGUAGCUGAGAGGGACACCUGGAUUCACGUCUCACACUGCAGACGAGUUCCUGCCCCUGAGGAGGAUGGCAGGAGUCCCAUCCCUAGGCUGUCUGGCCUUGCUGUCUGGAUCUGCACCAUUGUGUUGAUUGGAACAGUUGGUUGCCCUCCAGUGGGUGACCAUUCAGGUGAAGAUGAAAGUACUGAGCCAAAGGAACCACCACACACCCGGAGUAGUGGUCCAGAAGGAGAAGUCAGCCGAAGGAAAUGAGAAGUACAAAUUCAAGAUGAGGGAGGGAAUCUGUUUCUCUCUCAAGCUGAAAUGGUGGGAAAUGUCACCUCAUAUAAGACUUAUUGUUGGGUAUGUGGGUUGGGUCCUGUGGGAGUAGGUAAGGGGUUGUAGGGGUUCCCUUGGGGGUGAACUUAACUAUUCAACUGUCCUCAAUAUUGUCAUUGGCCAAUUUCCCCCCAAAGAAUCCCGACCCCAUUACUUAUUUUGCGAUGUACAAGGCUGUUGUCAGCCUUGUAUAUCCUAGACCAAACAAUUACAGUGGCCCACCCAUCCCUAUAGUAGGAUCCCUGGUAGCCCCCUGGUGUAUUACAGGAAAUGGAAGUAACCAUUUGGGUGAAAUUCUUUGUAACUGUACUACGUUGGUUAAUGGUAGCAAUAACUGCUCUCUUGUGGUACAUGAUUCUGUUACAGAAACACCAGGAAAUGUGAAUUAUACAACUUCUGUUUACAAUAAGUAUAUUGCAAGGAGGCCCAAAUGGUAGCUAUUGAUUGUGUGGCCGAUUUUCUUAUUAUAGUUUACCACCUAAUUUGGGAGGGAAGUGUAUUGUUGGGUUUGUGGUGCCGGCCAUGAGAGUCCUUGGAAAAACUGCAACAGAAUUGAGGGUUCUGUUCAGAGAAUAUCAUCAGCUGACCCCUCGUUUUAAUAAGCGAUCCUUUGCAGAUGCCACUCAGGUGCAAACCUCCUCCCGAUUCGCUGGUGUUUAGCUGCCCCAAAAUGGAGUUGCAUGUGCCUUGGGGCAACAGGGUAGCCUAGUGGUUAGAGUGUUGGACUAGUAGCUGAAAGGUUGCAAGUUCAAAUCCCCGAGCUGACAAGGUACAAAUCUGUCGUUCUCCCCCUGAACAGGCAGUUAACCCACUGUUCCUAGGCUGUCAUUGAAAAUAAGAAUUUGUUCUUAACUGACUUGCCUAGUUAAAUAAAGGUAAAAUAAAAACUUUUUUUUAAAAAAGAUCAAAUUCGAAAUUUUACUAUUCAAGUUGAGAAAACGGAAAAUGCUACUAGAGACGAUUUGAUUGCUCUGAACGAGGAAGUGAAAGCACUCAGCAAGGUCGCCCUAAAAAACAGGGAGGCACUUAACUACUUAUUGGCUGGUCAAGGAGGUACUGGCGAUAAAUGCUGUACUUUUGUCCCAGAUAUGUCAUCAAAUGUGACUGAUCUUGCUAAGUACAUUGCCACUGUUGAAAAGUCUCAUUCUGGGAAAUUAGAGUGGGUCUUUACUGGUUGGCUGGAAGGCCUCUUUGAAGCUUGGGGCUCCCAGAUAGCUCAGUGGGUGAUAGCUGGAAUAUUUUGUUUAAUGUGUUUAACCAUUUUGCUUUGUUGUUGUAAGGCCAUUUGUGCUUCCCUGGCAACUCAAGUCUCAGCAACUAUCAUGUACUAAGGAAUGUGAUACUGAUAACUUGCUGUCUCUCCAGAAACUCCCAUUUCCCUCUAUAAUGGAUGAUAAUAUGCAAUAAUUAGUUAGUAUCCAUGCUUGAUUAAGUACCUGAAGGUUUUAAGUUAGGUUGUUAAACGACAGCAACCUUCUAAUGUAAAGGGUAAUGGAAAAAGGAUCAAAUAUGAAGAUGGAUUUUUGUCUAUUGUUAUGCCUAUUACAUGUAAGAAUCAGUUUUUACUAAAUGCACUCCUGAUGAUAGGCUGAAUGUUUGUUAAGAAGUCAAAGAAAAAUGUGUUAUCACAUAUUUGGAUAAAAGGAGGGAGUGUAGUGGAAAUGUUUUGUGUCCUCUGUGUGUCUCCAAAAUGUGUGACUACAUAUAGUGUAUUGUUUCUUGUUUUUGUGUUAGGAUGUUCUGUGACUGCUCUCAGGGAGGGGACUGAUAGGAGAACAGAAGGAAUGGAAUACAUAGUUUCUAGGUGUUGGGCCAAAGUAACAAUGUGUGCAAGGUCAUGAUCAGUUUGAGCAUGAGCAUAAAGACUGCUGAAGGGAGAACAUCCCUUCAGAGCUUCUGACAGACGUAUACAUUGAGUAUUAAGUUUGCUGUAACCUCUCCC
ensembl:lncRNA